UUCUAAUCAUGUUACUAAAAUAAUAAGUUUAUAUUUUACUUAACUAUAAUCUCGCUGUUGAUAGGCUUUAAGACAGCCUUAAGAUUUCACUGUUAGAAAUUCUGCAGAAAAUCUGGUGUGAUCUUUCAGUCAUGAAUUUGGAAUACCAUGCUGACUUAUUUACUUAUCCAAGAUUGUGUAAAUUUAUGGGCAACCUAUUACCAUUUUGAAUUCUGAGAUGGUUGAAUCAAUUUGUAUGCGGUCAUAGGAAUAUGAGGGCAUUGGUUUCAUCUGUGUCAUCACCAGCACUGACUGUUGGAAAUGAAAAUAAGUUUCUGAAUGUUAUGACAAAUAUGGAUAAGAGAGAUCUUCAAUUCUGCAGAACUCAUCUUCUCUGGAAGUAGCCUGCAUUUGAGAGCUGGAUGGAAGGCAGGCAUUUUAGUGAUCAUGGUGAAAAUGUGGCUGCAACUGACACAAGUUGGUCUAAACUGGGACUCCCAAAUAGAGGCCCAGAUGACCUGAUAAAGAGAAUAAAUAUAGAUAUGCAUACAGUAGUCAGAAUAACUACAGUGGAAAUUACCCUAAAGUUCCGAAGUCUCUAAAUUGCAACCUAGAGAAGACUUGGUGAGUUAUAAUAUAUUUGUUAUAUCAAAUUUUUUUAUGUGUGUUAUGAAAUUUCCAAUUUUGUAACUGAUAAGAAUGUUGAGUUCAUAUUUGCCAGAACAAGUGAGUUUCUUCUUUUUUUAUUGUGUUAAAUAGCAAAAUAUGCCAUUUUAACCACUUUUAAGUGUACAAUUCAGUGGCAUAAUUGCACAGUUUGGAAAUAUUUUCUCCCAUUCAGUUGGUUGCCUCUUCUCUGUUUUGAAUGUUUAUUUUGCAGUGCAGAAUCUUCUCAGCUUUGUGUAAUCCCAUUUGUCAAUGGGAUUUGUUUACCUGUGCCUCAGGUUAUUUUCCUAGCAGUCCUUGCCCAUGCCAAUGUCUUGCACACUUUCCCCAAUGUGCUGUAGUAAUUUGAUAGUAUCAUGUCAUGGAUUUAGGUCCUUGAUUCAUGUAUUUUAGCAUUUGCUGGUGUUACAGUGCCCAUUGUGUAGACGGACUUCUAAAAAUUUUUAUCUUUUAAAAUUUUUCUUCACAAAGAAAUCUCUUGUAUGAGGAAUACAGACUUCAUGCAUUCCAUAAGUACAGCUUUAGGAAUAGUGUGAUUCUUCCUACCAUACCUGCCCUUCUAUGCACUCUCCCACCCCUUAUCUUCCUCCCUCUCCAAUUUCUAGUCACAUUCUCCACA
rnacentral:lncRNA from 1 species